AUACAAGGUUAUCUCCCCAAAUUGCUUGUCAGACUCAUGUCUCUCCCGCAUAGCAAGACAACUCCAGCAGUCGGUACAAGUCACACUUCAUUUUGAUUGAGUACAUGAUUUUUGAACAACUCCUAUACCUGCUCUUUGUAAGAAAUUAAAUAAAGUUAUUUUGGAUUGUUCCACCUUUGUAAACAAUUGGCUAAAGAGGGAUCAUUACCUUGAUGAAAUUAAGCCAUUUACAUGUUUAGUUGUGUUUUUCUAUAGCAGAGUGUUAUAUUUUGCAUUAUGUGGGUCACCGUAGCUUAAGUGGGGUUUUAUAUUUUUCAAGUGUGACUUUCUUGGAAAUUCUUAAUGCAGCCAUUUAAACAGUUUAUUUGCUACCCUUCCUGUUUUUAAGAUGACUUAAAAAAAAAAAAAAGACCUCAUGUUCUUGAAUCAAGAAGAUCAGGUAUUUUGGAUUUACUUUCAUCUUAAAUUGAAAUACUGCAUUUUUAUAGCUUCUCAGUAUGUGAUGGGGUGGAUUUUCAUUCUUUGCUGGGUCAGCUUGUCUUUUAUAUGCUAUUUCUAUAAACCAAAGUCUCUAAUAAGUACAUCUAACUUAUAUUUUAAUUAAGUUUCUAAAAGGAAAAUUUUUGCUCUAAAAAUCGUUUAACAAGUUUGAGAGCCCUGCUUUUACCUCAUUGGUUGAGCUGGAGGUGGUAGUGGGCAUGGUGGGCCAAGAAUGUCAUACAUGCAUGACGUCAGCUGGGCUGACCAUGCCCGUGAUCCUGGCUCCUGGGAAGCUAAGGCAGAAGGGCCAGUUCAAGUUUGAGGCCAGCCUGAGCGACACAGCAGACCUUGCCUCACAUAAGAGUGACUCUAAGGCAGUCGUAUAAUUUACUCUAGAACUAAAGAGUUCAUGAAGUGAGGGACUGGAGGCCAGGCUGCCACACUGCUGACUUCAAGUGUGGAGGUUACGCUUUCAAGGUGUGUGGCCCAUCCUGUGAUCUAGAAGGUAACAAAAAUUCUGGGGUGAGGGGUUGCAACCAUUUAAAAAAAAAUCACAUUGGAUUUUAAAAUUCAACCAUCAGAACAAUGCACUAUUAUUUUUAAACAUGGAUGUGAAAGAAGAAUAGCAGAUUUUGCUGAGCUUGGCACAGGGCCAUGAGGAGCACUUGACAGGAAGUGUAACUCAGCCUGGUGGCCGACACCCGUGAUCCUGUCACUGGGGAGGCAGAGGCAGAAGCGUCAGCAUGCCAAGGCCAGUCUCACCUACACAGUGGAUUGAGGCUUCCUUGAGACCCUGUCUCAGAGGACAGGGAUGCAGUGCUAAGGAGACGCUGCUUUCAGUGGUUUUCCAUGCAGUGUAACACAGGCAAAUCCCACUGCUUUCUGAGUGCCUUUUAACUUUAUUACAGUGACUUGACAGAGCUUUAGAGGAAACUGCCCUAUGUAACGGUCUUCAAUAGCACAGACAUCAAAAACAUGGUUUAGAUUUCGAUUUCAAAAUUACAUUACCUGAUUACUUCCAAAUAGGUGCUAAGCAAACAAAAAUCCCCAGUGUCACAGAACCUGGACUUGCCUUGUGUUUAAUGUGAAUAUUUAUCUGUCCCCACGUCGCCUGCCUCCAGGCGCUCUGUUCCAUCAGGAAAGCUUCAUUCUGACCAAUGGUUCCCUGUGCUCACAUGCAGUAAGAGGCCACUAUUUUCUGGCACAAAGUUUUAAAGCAGUGCUGUGUAUCCUGUACAUUUGUUUUGCAGUUUGUUGCUCUGUAUUUUACAGUGCUCUCCCCACCCCACUCACAUUUACAGGCCAGAGCACAAAUUUCUCUUCUCCUAAAUCCACUAUAAUUUGCUUUCCUAGACAACACUAAAUCUGCCCUGAGCUUGCAGUGCAUCGGACAGAUGGCACUGGUGGGUGUUAGCCGCUUCCAGUGCCUGCAGGGUCAGCAGCACAGCCUCGCCCUUCAGCUGCAGCUUACGGUCGGGGCCACGUGUGGUGGUUAAUGUUCUCACACUAGGAUGAUGAUUGUACCAAAUGCUGAGUUGCUGAUUCUAGAUGUAAUUAGUUCACUUUAUGUAAUAUUCUCCUUUUCUCUAAACUGACUUUAAAAGCAAAGUUUUAUCAUUUCCAUUGUAUUUAUUACAGAAUGUUUUAGCCUUGAUAUUCUUUGUAAUUUCACUCAUUUGUUACAUGAGCUUUAUCAAUAACAUCUGUAUAAAUGGUUUUUAAAAAUUAACUAUGUACGUAUGUAUGUAUGUGCCCAUGCCGAAGCUGAGCAAUAAAAUGAAUGCUGUUUGCACUGUCACAGCAGCGAGGUUUGU
rnacentral:lncRNA from 1 species